rnacentral:sRNA from 1 species
UCGGAGCCGACCUCGGCAAUGGCCUCUUUCAGUUUCAGUUUCAGUUUUGCUUGAGUGGUUAAGCUCUUAUAAUCAGUCACUAGUCUCCCCUCAUGGACAUGGAGGGGGUGGACUAGCUCUCUACUGGAAAAAGGAUUGGAAUGUGAUCAUACUCUCCUCUUGUAACAACUAUUUGGAUGUAAGCAUCACAAUAAAGAAUAAAUCUUUUUUUGCUACUUUUGUCUAUGGGGAACCUGAUCAAAGUAAAAGAUGCAUUGUUUGGGAGUCUCUCAAAGUUAUUGCAGAAUAAAGAGCGGCACCUUGGUUUCUCUCUGGUGACUUCAACGAUAUCCUUAGCAAUAUGAUAAGUGUGUAUUUUGCAUGUUUUGAGCAUCCAUUUGUAAUCACUUUAGCAUCAUAUCAUCACUGUUUUAUACCAUUUCUCAUCAUUUGUCAUCACUUUACAUGUUUAGGAUAGAUUUGCAUGU